UGCCUUUAUGUGUUGCCCUUUCAGUGUUUUCAUCAUGAAAAGGGUGUCAGCUAAGGCAUACAGAGAGACUUGUUGUUGUCUUUUGGAGGGUCAACAGUGACUCGCCUGUCGGGAUCAACGUCAAGGACACAC